rnacentral:rRNA from 2 species
ACAGGGAUUGCCCUAGUAACGGCGAGUGAAGCGGCAACAGCUCAAAUUUGAAAUCUGGCGUCUUUGGCGUCCGAGUUGUAAUUUGCAGAGGGCGCUUUGGCAUUGGCAGCGGUCCAAGUUCCUUGGAACAGGACGUCACAGAGGGUGAGAAUCCCGUACGUGGUCGCUAGCCUUUACCGUGUAAAGCCCCUUCGACGAGUCGAGUUGUUUGGGAAUGCAGCUCUAAAUGGGAGGUAAAUUUCUUCUAAAGCUAAAUACUGGCCAGAGACCGAUAGCGCACAAGUAGAGUGAUCGAAAGAUGAAAAGCACUUUGGAAAGAGAGUUAAAAAGCACGUGAAAUUGUUGAAAGGGAAGCGCUUGCAGCCAGACUUGCCUGUAGUUGCUCAUCCGGGUUUCUACCCGGUGCACUCUUCUAUAGGCAGGCCAGCAUCAGUUUGGGCGGUUGGAUAAAGGUCUCUGUCAUGUACCUCCUUUCGGGGAGAACUUAUAGGGGAGACGACAUGCAACCAGCCCGGACUGAGGUCCGCGCAUCUGCUAGGAUGCUGGCGUAAUGGCUGUAAGCGGCCCGUCUUGAAACACGGACCAAGGAGUCUAACAUCUAUGCGAGUGUUUGGGUGUCAAGCCCGAGCGCGUAAUGAAAGUGAACGGAGGUGGGAACCUUUCGGGGUGCACCAUCGACCGAUCCUGAUGUCUUCGGAUGGAUUUGAGUAAGAGCAUAGCUGUUGGGACCCGAAAGAUGGUGAACUAUGCUUGAAUAGGGUGAAGCCAGAGGAAACUCUGGUGGAGGCUCGCAGCGGUUCUGACGUGCAAAUCGAUCGUCAAAUUUGGGCAUAGGGGCGAAAGACUAAUCGAACUAUCUAGUAGCUGGUUCCUGCCGAAGUUUCCCUCAGGAUAGCAGUAACGUUUUCAGUUUUAUGAGGUAAAGCGAAUGAUUAGAGGCAUGGGGGUUGAAACAACCUU